rnacentral:rRNA from 1 species
UGGGCGGCAGCCUACACAUGCAAGUCGAACGGUAACAGGAAGCAGCUUGCUGCUUUGCUGACGAGUGGCGGACGGGUGAGUAAUGUCUGGGAAACUGCCUGAUGGAGGGGGAUAACUACUGGAAACGGUAGCUAAUACCGCAUAACGUCGCAAGACCAAAGAGGGGGACCUUCGGGCCUCUUGCCAUCAGAUGUGCCCAGAUGGGAUUAGCUAGUAGGUGGGGUAACGGCUCACCUAGGCGACGAUCCCUAGCUGGUCUGAGAGGAUGACCAGCCACACUGGAACUGAGACACGGUCCAGACUCCUACGGGAGGCAGCAGUGGGGAAUAUUGCACAAUGGGCGCAAGCCUGAUGCAGCCAUGCCGCGUGUAUGAAGAAAGGCCUUCGGGUUUGUAAAGUACUUUCAGCGGGGGGAGGAAGGCGAUGCUGUUUAAUAACCGCGUCGAUUUGACGUUACCCCGCAGAAAGAGCAACGGGCUUAACUCGUGCCAGCAGCCGCGGUAAUACGGAGGGUGGCAAGCGUACCGGAAUUACU